rnacentral:rRNA from 1 species
GAUACCCUGGUAGUCCACACUGUAAACGAUGGAUACUAGGUGUAGGGUGUAUUAAACAUUCUGUGCCGCCGCAAACGCAUUAAGUAUCCCACCUGGGGAGUACGACCGCAAGGUUGAAACUCAAAGGAAUUGACGGGGGCCCGCACAAGCAGUGGAGUAUGUGGUUUAAUUCGAAGCAACGCGAAGAACCUUACCAGGGCUUGACAUAUACAGGAAUAAGUAAGAGAUUACUUAGCUCUUCGGAGUCUGUAUACAGGUGGUGCAUGGUUGUCGUCAGCUCGUGUCGUGAGAUGUUGGGUUAAGUCCCGCAACGAGCGCAACCCCUGUCCUUAGUUGCCAGCACGUAAAGGUGGGAACUCUAAGGAGACUGCUGGUGAUAAAUCGGAGGAAGGUGGGGAUGACGUCAAAUCAUCAUGCCCUUUAUGUCCUGGGCUACACACGUACUACAAUGGCCGUGACAGAGAGAAACGAAGUAGUGAUGCAGAGUAAAACUCAAAAAACGGUCUCAGUUCGGAUUGAAGGCUGAAAUUCGCCUUCAUGAAGCUGGAAUUGCUAGUAAUGGCAGGUCAGCAUACUGCCGUGAAUACGUUCCCGGGCCUUGUACACACCGCCCGUCACACCAUGAGAGUUGGAAAUACCCGAAGCCUGUGAGCUAACUUAAAGAGGCGGCAGUCGAAGGUAGAGCCAAUGAUUGGGGUGAAGUCGUAACAAGGUAAC